rnacentral:miRNA from 1 species
CAAAACACUGUCCGGUCCUGUG